UCUGAAGACAGGCUGCACACAUCUUGUGCAAAAAAAGAAAACAACUAUAGGUAGAAAGGCUAUAUGAACCUCUUGGUGUGAAGAACCUGAAGUUUCAUUUUGCUCUUUUUGUUUUUGUUUCACCACAUAUAGAGCAGGUCAGACACUUUCACGAGGAAGCAAACUGGAACCAACAGAGGACAAAAAUAACUCUAACGAAGUCAAAGCAGCCUGCUCAAAUUCAAUCAGACACCAUGAGCUCUGUGAGACAUCCAUUAGAGGAAAUGCACUGGUGUCUGUCUGGAGGGGAGCUGCACAGUGUCGUGACUAACUUUCACUUUGACUUUGGGACAACAUGUUUUGACUAACGCCAGACUACAGAAACUUUCUGAGACUAGAUGUGUGAGCUGAGCGCACAGGAGCUGAACACUGUAGACACAUCAACACUUUCAGCUGAUCUGAGGUCAGACGGCAGACUGGACAAACAUGAAGGGGGGUCGGCCAAACAAAAACAGCUACAACAGCAAGCCUACCUCUUCAAAAGUCUUUUUAGAUAUAUAUCCGCCUAUGUUCCUCCUGGAGACGUCCUCGCUGCCACUCUAGCCGGGGUCAUGAUGAGGUUUCGGGCUUGAAUGGGACGGAGCGGUCCGUGAUGAGGCGGGGAGGAGGGUGAAGCAGGAGCCCGGGAUGAGCUGGAGGCACCGUGUCGAGCACUUUCUGCUCCAACAUCUGCUCACUGCUCAAGGUCACAACAUCUGCAGUAUGUCCACUAUGAUGCCAGAAAUACUCGUGACCUUCCUGUGGGGACCUACACUGCAUGUGUGGACUCAACGGCAUAAACACAUUUAUUACUUCAAAUUUGAAUGUGCAGUGUUACUUUUUCAAUUUCUGAUUGCACUUCUUGUAUAUGUUAUAUACUACCAUCCUCUGCUUCUCAAUGUCAUUAUCUAUACUGCCUUUCCUAUUUAGUUUUUAUCGUAGUUGACUUAUUUUCCCUUAAUUCACCUAUUUUAAAUUUGUAUUGUCAUAUUUUUCAACACUGAUGACAGCAUUUGCACCUUUCUUAUUAUUAGUCAGUUGUGUUUUUGCAUUUUAUUGUUAUGUUAAUGUAUUUCUGAGCAUUUUCUGCCACAAGUUUUUCCAUCGCGUACAAUGAAGUGCUACAUCAUCUUUUAAUAAUACUUCUAGUAGUGUUUUCAAAUCCAUGGUACAUGGUUUUUGUUUGGAUCAAGAUGGACAUUAAUUUCAUUGUUAUUAAGAACAUAGAGGGAGAUGAUGACAAAUCCAAAGAUUUUGGCCAAGAAAAAAGCCAAAUCUAUCUUGUUGAAUUGGGGGAGCUAACCAUAGCUGACAAAGCACUGGUAUAUUACAGAGGAGCAGCUCUAUAAUUGAAAAAAAAAUAUAUGUGGUAAAGACUAAAAUUGUGAGUAGAAAAAACA